rnacentral:lncRNA from 1 species
AUGUCCUUCUCACCCAGGUACACGCAGCUCCGCAGGGAAAAGGAGGGGCCGUGCAGAAAUCUUGCUUUGGGUCUCCCAGACCUCGUCUGUCCGCGCCGCGCACACCACCACCCCUGCGGUUCCCAGCUGAAUUCUGAGGGGAGACUUUCCUCGUCUGUGGCUCUUACAGAAGAAAAGCAACAUGUUUUCAUUGUCCUUGGGACCCUGUUUUCAGUCCCUACCCUCGUGACUCCCUGGACCCUUGAUGUCAUUCUGAGGACACUGCAACUGCCUCGAAAUUCUCUCUCAAAUUCUUACCCAUGUGUAUAGUGACACCAGAUUCAUCUUUGGAAAAAAGUUCAUUUGUUUGUGUUCAUUUCUUACUCAGAAAUGCUCAGUGAAUGGCUUCCCUUUUCCAUGAAAGAGAGCCCAAACUCUUCAAUCUUGCAGUCACAGUCUUCGGAAACAUCUUCCCCGGCUUUCUCCAGCAUACCUUGUGUGUUGUGUGGGCCACGUGAUAACUCAUUCGCCUUCUGGCUGGGCUCCCCAGAGAUUAAAGACCCUCCUGCCAGUUAUGAAGAGUCUGCCGAUUCCUAAAGACUCAACCGAGUAUGCCUUUGUGGACUGAUCUUCUCCUAAGUUCAGUCCCAGAUGACCUCUCCCUUUUGUUUCUCAUCUGAGAUUGGAUAUCAGUGAUCUGAUGAUUAUACAUGCCCAGCAUAUUACAAUUGCUAUAUGUGUAUUGCAGUUGUAAUUUUGCACAUAUCUUAACUUUGUCCAUCUCUGGAGCACUGACUAAUAUCUCUUUAUGUAUAGCACAUCAUAGUAUUAAAUGAAGCACAUUACACAUAGCAGGCAUUUAAAGUUUUCAU